CCGGGUUCAGGUUUUCGGAUCGAUUCGGUUCACGAGGGCCAAGGCAACGCUGGUGACCUGCGCCACCUCCACCACACGCUUGCGGAUGGCGGCCCGGAUGACCGGGCCAGCGUUCUGGGAGACGCUGUCGAGGCAAGUGUCGGCGUCGGUGAGCGCGGCGCUGACCCAGGUCUGCACGUUGCUGAGGUGCCAGGCGAAGCGGGGGCUCCGGGCGCGCCCCAACCGCCCCAUCUCCGCCACAGACUGGCGGAGCUGGUCGACGCUGUCCUGCAUAGUCUCCACGCAGUCUUUUACGGCCCCGGCCUCACGGGACCGCGCACCGGCCGACGUCCGCCUCGCGAAGGCCAAGGCCGCCCGCGCCUUGUCCACGCUCACGGAGAGGGCGGCCAACGCCACCCCGCGCGGGCUCCGGCGGAUGGGCAGCUUGUAGGUCGAGAGGCAGCGCUCGCAGAGGCGAGGGUACUGCGUGACCCGGCACGAGGAGCGGAUGAAGUCGC
rnacentral:lncRNA from 1 species